UUGUUGGUGAGGUAAUGGCUCACCAAGGCGACGACGGGUAGCCGGCCUGAGAGGGUGACCGGCCACACUGGGACUGAGACACGGCCCAGACUCCUGGAGGCAGCAGUGGGGAAUAUUGCACAAUGGGCGGAAGCCUGAUGCAGCGACGCCGCGUGAGGGAUGACGGCCUUCGGGUUGUAAACCUCUUUCAGUAGGGAAGAAGCGAAAGUGACGGUACCUGCAGAAGAAGCGCCGGCUAACUACGUGCCAGCAGCCGCGGUAAUACGUAGGGCGCAAGCGUUAUCCGGAUUUAUUGGGCGUAAAUCGUAGGCGGUUUGUCGCGUCUGCCGUGAAAGUCCGACUCAACCUCGGAUCUGCGGUGGGUACGGGCAGACUAGAGUGAUGUAGGGGAGACUGGAAUUCCUGGUGUAGCGGUGAAAUGCGCAGAUAUCAGGAGGAACACCGAUGGCGAAGGCAGGUCUCUGGGCAUUUACUGACGCUGAGGAGCGAAAGCAUGGGGAGCGAACAGGAUUAGAUACCCUGGUAGUCCAUGCCGUAAACGUUGGGCACUAGGUGUGGGGGACAUUCCACGUUUUCCGCGCCGUAGCUAACGCAUUAAGUGCCCGCCUGGGAGUACGGCCGCAAGGCUAAAACUCAAAGGAAUUGACGGGGGCCCGCACAAGCGGCGGAGCAUGCGGAUUAAUUCGAUGCAACGCGAAGAACCUUACCAAGGCUUCAUGUGCCAGACCGCUCCAGAGAUGGGGUUUCCCUUCGGGGCUGGUUCACAGGUGGUGCAUGGUUGUCGUCAGCUCGUGUCGUGAGAUGUUGGGUUAAGUCCCGCAACGAGCGCAACCCUCGUUCCAUGUUGCCAGCACGUAGUGGUGGGGACUCAUGGGAGACUGCCGGGGUCAACUCGGAGGAAGGUGGGGAUGACGUCAAAUCAUCAUGCCUAUGUCUUGGGCUUCACGCAUGCUACAAUGGCCGGCAAUGGGUUGCGAUACUGUGAGGUGGAGCUAAUCCCUAAAAGCCGGUCUCAGUUCGGAUUGGGGUCUGCAACUCGACCCCAUGAAGUCGGAGUCGCUAGUAAUCGCAGCAGCAACGCUGCGGUGAAUACGUUCCCGGGCCUUGUACACACCGCCCGUCAAGUCACGAGUUGGUAACA
rnacentral:rRNA from 1 species